CAUCUUUUCUAGUAUUUUAUUUGAGAUCUGACCUGCCCAAUGAUUUAUUUAAAUGGCCGCGGUAUUUUGACCGUGCAAAGGUAGCAUAAUCAUUAGUUUAUUAAUUGUAGACUUGUAUGAAUGGUUGGACGAAAUAUUAACUGUCUCAUAUUAAUUUUUAUAAUUUAAAUUUUGAGUUAAAAUGCUUAAAUAUUUUUAUAGGACGAGAAGACCCUAUAGAUCUUUAUUUUUGAUUUUUUUAUUUAUUUUGGUUUAUUUUUAUAUAAUUAUUUUAUUUAUUUUGUUGGGGUGACAUUGAUAUAUAAUUAACUAUUUAUUUUUGAUAUUCAUUUAUUUUUGUUUAUUUGACCUUUUAUUAUUGUUAUAAGAUUUAGAUACCUUAGGGAUAACAGCGUAAUUCUCUUUGAGAGUUCAUAUCGACAAGGGAGAUUGCGACCUCGAUGUUGGAUUAAGAAAAUAUUUAGGUGUAGGUGCUUAAUUGUUAAGUCUGUUCGACUUUUAAAUUCUUAC
rnacentral:rRNA from 1 species